UGGGGAAUAUUGCACAAUGGGCGCAAGCCUGAUGCAGCCAUGCCGCGUGUAUGAAGAAGGCCUUCGGGUUGUAAAGUACUUUCAGCGAGGAGGAAGGCGUUGAGGUUAAUAACCGCAACGAUUGACGUUACUCGCAGAAGAAGCACCGGCUAACUCCGUGCCAGAAGCCGCGGUAAUACGGAGGGUGCAAGCGUUAAUAGGAAUUACUGGGCGUAAAGCGCACGCAGGCGGUCUGUCAAGUCGGAUGUGAAAUCCCCGGGCUCAACCUGGGAACUGCAUCCGAAACUGGCAGGCUAGAGUCUUGUAGAGGGGGGUAGAAUUCCAGGUGUAGCGGUGAAAUGCGUAGAGAUCUGGAGGAAUACCGGUGGCGAAGGCGGCCCCCUGGACAAAGACUGACGCUCAGGUGCGAAAGCGUGGGGAGCAAACA
rnacentral:rRNA from 1 species